rnacentral:rRNA from 1 species
AUUGCCUCAGUAACGGMGAGUGAAGCGGCAACAGCUCAAAUUUGAAAUCUGGCCUCUUUGGGGUCCGAGUUGUAAUUUGUAGAGGAUGUUUCGGGCACCGCUCCGGUUUAAAUUUCUUGGAACAGAAUGUCAAAGAGGGUGAGAACCCCGUCUUGGACCGGCAGUAGGGCCCAUGUGAAACUCCUUCGACGAGUCGAGUUGUUUGGGAAUGCAGCUCAAAAUGGGUGGUAAAUUUCAUCUAAAGCUAAAUAUUGGCCAGAGACCGAUAGCGCACAAGUAGAGUGAUCGAAAGAUGAAAAGCACUUUGAAAAGAGAGUUAAACAGUACGUGAAAUUGUUGAAAGGGAAGCGCUUGCAACCAGACUUGCGCGCGGCGGUUCCCCCUUCCUUUUGGUUGGGUUAUUCCGCCGUGUCCAGGCCAACAUCGGUUCUGGGGGUCGGUUAAAGGCCUGGGGAAUGUAUCUACCCUUCGGGCGUAGACUUAUAGCCCCGGGUGUCAUGCGACCUCCCGGGACCGAGGAACGCGCUUCGGCUCGGAUGUUGGCGUAAUGGUUGUCAGCGACCCGUCUUGAAACACGGACCAAGGAGUCUAACAUCUAUGCGAGUGUUUGGGUGUCAAACCCGGAACGCGGAAUGAAAGUGAACGGAGGUAGGAAGCUUCGGCUGCACUAUCGACCGAUCCUGAUGUCUUCGGAUGGAUUUGAGUAAGAGCAUAGCUGUUGGGACCCGAAAGAUGGUGAACUAUGCCUGAAUAGGGUGAAGCCAGAGGAAACUCUGGUGGAGGCUCGCAGCGGUUCUGACGUGCAAAUCGAUCGUCAAAUUUGGGUAUAGGGGCGAAAGACUAAUCGAACUAUUUAAAAGUUACCGGUGGUUAAGUGUWACCGKGAAAGCGGUGYARKUGCCMGGUUCUGGCGC